AGCUAGCAAAAACUCUUCAGCAAAAAGUGGAGCUAAAGUUUUUUUAAAUUGACAUUAGUGUUUUAACCGUCCAGUGUAUCUAUCUGUUGCUGUUGUAGCCUACCUUACAGUAAUGUUAAUGUAACGUUAGCUUGAUAGUUUGGAUAGAUUGGCUGCUGGUGCAUCCCCACUGUGUGUUUUGUCCACAAUUUCUGUAAUUAACACCAUACAAAAUAAAGUUCCUUCAAAUGUAAAGACAUCCCACUAACAAAAGUCAAAGAACAAGAUUGAAAUCUGCUAUAAAAUGACAUUUCAUUUGGGCUCAUUGAAAUGAUUGGAUGGGAUUAUUACAGGCCUGCAACAGUCACAGAUACUGGAUUUUCAUUUGAUUUAUUGAUUGCUGUCGGGAUGUACAGAGAAUUUCAACAAAUAUCACAAAAAUGCCUCUAAAAUACAUUAGAUACCCUAGCUUUAAGGUAAGUCUAUUUUUAAGUGAGAUUGUAUUGGCUGCAUUACAUAUUGUAUGUCGUGAUAUGACAAAUUAGUUGGCAGAUUUACUUCAUGGUUAGUGCUGUUGUCUGUCCUGCCAGUGUGGUACCCAUGAAAAAAAUAGUGAAGAACACUGAUGUAUAUAUGAGUGACUGUGUGUGUGUGUGUGUGUGUGUGUGUGUGUGUAAACCCUUGUUAGUGCCUUUUAACUUGUGAACAUUCACAUAAACGUAGUUUUGAUAUCGGAAAGAACACAUCUUUGACUUUCAUUAGUGAACAAACCUGUGUGUCCUUUAUUGGAUUAAUGUAUGUCUACUAUAGUGUUGUAGUCAGGCUAUAUCCUUAAAUCUGAGACCUAUACUCCCGCUCCCACCACAUGUGUAAACUGCAUACUGUUUUAAACCCAGAUGAUCAAUUGAGUCCAAAUAUGUGCAUGUGCACGUGCACAUACGCGUGAUUAAGCCCAUGGCAUCAAAAUCUCACUCCAGCCAGGUACCCAAAAUUGGCAACCCUGGCUUAGUCUCACUAUCAAUCUCUAUUGAAGAUGUUUUAAGUGAACACUGCUCCAGUAAUGUGACUUUAUGGAAUAUAGCAAUCAGGGCUUGAAUUUAAGGACCACGCGUCGCCGAUAAAAAUAGGAUUGGGAAGGAUGUAAAUACAUUUUGGGACAUAUUUGGUAACGUUACAGUGCACAGGGAUUAAAAUGAAACUGACUGAGUGUUUUGUGUAGCACACAUAGUUCUUAUCAAACCUCCUUGACAACACACACGCACAAACGUUACUGAGUAACGUUAGCAAGACUCAAGACGUAGCUACAUGUCUCCCACUUGCUGCGGCUACAGUCUGAACAGCCAGAGCAGCGUGUUGGUCUGUUGCAGUGUCCAGCCUGAAAUCCUCCUGCAGCCUGGAAUCUACAGAAGAUACUCAAGACCACCUAUCAGACCAGAACCUCAAGCCAUACAUGAGCCAUCACAACUUCUGCAAAGAGUGACUUCUCCACACCAGCUGGAAAGUUAGACACACUAUGGAAGCUGGCCUGGAUCAUCGAGGGGAAAGAACAGCAUGUCCCAUCAUUGUCUGCGUUCAUUUUAUUCAUCACAGAUAAGUCACCUCCAGUUGUUGCUGUGCGAUAUAUACCUUUCAUGAAAGCUUCACCAACUGAUUAUUCUACAAUCUACACAGCACUGAUUUGCCUUACACAGCUCUCUGCACAACUGGGGUAAAAGCAUAUUCUUGUAACUGCCGACCUUGGAAUUUAUAGCAAAGCCCUGAAGAUUCCUUCUCCUCAUGGAAAGGUAACGAUGCGAUUGGAAAGCAUGCACAUCACUAUGGCUUAUCUUGCAAGCAUUGGCAAACUCUAUGGAGAUGGUGGACUGCAAACAGCUGUCAAGGGGGGGUAAGAAGCUUGAAUCCUAGAAGCUCUAUUUCGACUCUUGGAAAGCAAUGAUGUCAUGGACAGAACAACAAGGACAGGAACAAUUAACCUCAUGGAACAAAUGGGGGAUGUAUAAUAUUCACUCCAUGCCAAAGACAGGGCAUCAACAAAACAACUCAUUUAAGAAAUCAAAGAUCAACACAUUGAUGAAGUCAUUGAGUAAGUUCACAUUUUUUCAACAGCAGGAAGUAAGCAGUCUGCCAGCCUUGCUUACUGCUUCUCAUCUAUGCAAGGAGUGGACCGCUGUUGAGAAUGCUGCUGGCAGAAAGAGAUGCAGACUUUUAACUUCACUUGAACUUAAUGGUGGAAGUUUUACCAUGGUUUGAGGCUGCUGGAAGAAACAACUAUUCCAAGUACAUGCUAAUUUAUGUUGAUGACAUGAGAACAUUUCUGCAACAGCAUCCAGAGUCGUACAAGUUCCUGCAAGAAAGUGGCUUUGUUGCACGGCUGUCUGAUGAGCAGAGCUUCAACUGUGAGGCAACUGACCAGGCCUGACUUGUAAACAUUGUCACCGUUCAAAUUGUCUCAAAAAUGGUGGCAAAAAGUUUCUCCUGUUUCCUUGAAGUUCAUAAAGAAGUGCCUUGCGUAGGACACAAGAACAAAGUUUCUGGGAAAUAGAGAAAAGAAAAUCACCUGUAAAAAGCACCUGUAUCGAAAAACAAGUCUGGACAGCAUCGGAUGGACUCGGGCUAUUUUAAGGAGACUUCUAGCAGUUUCAAGCCAAAGACGUGUCCACAGAGAACAUGUUGUCUCAUGAGUUAGCUGCUCUACCACGUGCUUUGUUCUAUGAUGAUGGCAGGAUGAGAAAAACCUCCAAAGCUGACCUAGCCAAGGAGGCAGAGAUUGUGAUGAGUUCCACUUACCUGAUAUAACAGGACCACCUGCAUAUAGCAUAGAUGGUAUGGCAUUACCUCAGAGUCUGAAUGAAUCAGGGUUGCAGUACACAGAACACCCCCUCAAAAGAAUCUUUUCACUGUUAUGGUAGAGGAAAAAAUCAAUUGUGUUGCCAUGGUUUUUGACCGAUAUGACCACCCAAACUACGUCAAGCAAAAACAGACAAAGACGAGGUUGCAGGAACAACACAUGUGAUCUCAGGGCACAAUAAAGUGUCAAAUUACAGGAGGUGCUUGACAAGCAGUGGCAACAUGGCUACACUUUCUGCUUUUGUUUUCAAUUACAUAACCAGCUCAGGUCCACUUAGACUCACUGAGGAACAGACGAUCAUCUUGGUGGGAGGUUUUGAAGAUCUGGAAGGGAAAAAAAUGUGUAUUUGAACCUGAUUGUAUGAAAUGUAUAUAGUUUUUGGCUUAA